rnacentral:rRNA from 1 species
GAUGAACGCUGGCGGCGUGCCUAAUACAUGCAAGUCGAGCGAACAAACGAGGCGCUUUCUCCUCUUCCGUUACCGACGGGCGGGUGAUUCACACGUGGCUAACCUACCUAUAGGGCUGGCAUAACUUCGCGAGCCCUGAUCUAAUACCGGAUAAUAUGUUGAACCGCGUGGAUCAAUAGUGCACAAGGUAUUUGCUGUCACUUAUACAUAGAUCCGCGCCGGAUUAGCUAGUUGGUAAGGUAACGGCUUACCAAGGCAACGAUGCGUAGCUGACCUGAGAGGGUGAUCGGCCACACUGGAACUGAGACACGGUCCAGACUCCUACGGGAGGCAGCAGUAGGGAAUCUUCCGCAAUGGGCGAAAGCCUGACGCAGCAACGCCGCGUGAGUGAUGAAGGUCUUCGGAUCGUAAAACUCUGUUAUUAGGGAAGAACAAAUGUGUAUGUAACCAUGGACGUCUUGACGGUACCUAAUCAGAAAGCCACGGCUAACUACGUG